CUGCAGCACGGGCCCUUACGGGUUAAGUAGGAACCCGGGACAGGCAUGUGCACCUUUCGGUAUGAAUAUUAAUAACGCCAGUUGUUGGAGGCAGGAUCAGAGCAUGAAAAAGUGAAACGACAUAAGGGGAGGAGAAAGGAAAAGGGCUUGAGUUCUCUCCUCGAGGAACCGCACGGGACGCUGCGCGGCUGGGAGAGAGAACUCGCCUUCCCCCAGCGUUUUGGGACAGCUAAACUCAGGAACCAGUUACCCCGGCACGGCCCCCACCUCCCCCCCACACACCAGCCCCCGGGAGGAUCAGCACAUGGGACGCCGUCCAAGCCGACGCGGGCUGGACUCCAAGGCUACGGGCUGCUUGGGAAUGAGAGCGCAGGAGUUUCUGGAGAGGGGAGCUGGGCUGGACUCUCACCCUUGCGCAAGUCCCCGUCCGGGUGCUCAGGUCUGAUCGGAGGCUGAAAUCUUUGGGAGAAGGUCAGGCACCUGGGACAGUUAGUUCCCAGCUCCCCUCUGAGAAGUGAGCCCAAGCCACCAGCAUCCAGGAGAUACAGGUGGGAGCUGGGAUGGCAAAGCGCCCACCUGAUGCCAGGAUUAGCGGAAGGAGAGGAGCGGGCACAGAGAGCCAGGAGGGCCUGACAUCCAGCCAGCUGACCAUGGACUCCCAGAGCAUCUGGCACAGUUCCCUGGGGACCGCCCUGCUCUUGGCCUGGCUGAGUGUUGGCUGGGGCAUCGGCAGCACUCAGGGGACAGCCAGCAGGACCCUGGUGUUCGGCCUGGAGCCCCAGCCCCGCCAUCGGCGCCAGCCGGGCCGUGGGGAAUGGACGCCAUGGGGAGGCUGGAGCGCCUGCUCCAGUACGUGUGGGGCCGGUGCCUCCUUCCGCACUAGGAAAUGCAUCCGGUUCCCUGAAGAGGAGCUGUGUGCGGGGGAGCCCCGGCAGUACCGAGUGUGCAAGCUACACGAGUGUCCUGGCAGCUCGGUGCCCUUCCGGGCCGUGCAGUGCUCUCUGUAUGACGGCAAGCCCAUCCCGGGGAGCCAGGCGAGGUACCAGUGGGUUCCUUUUCAUGGAGCGCCCAACCUCUGUGACCUGAACUGCCUGGCGGUGGGACACAAUUUCUACUACACCUUCGGCCGAGUGCUGGACGGGACCCGCUGCAGCCCGGACUCCCCGGAUCUCUGCAUCAGCGGCCAGUGCUUGACAGCGGGCUGCGACGGGAUCCUGGGCUCCGGCUCUCAGAGCGACGCCUGCGGCCUGUGCGACGGCAGGAACGACUCGUGCCUCCUCGUGCAGAGGGUGUUCCGGGCCGCGCUCCCCUCCUCCGGUUUCUUUGGGUACAAGAACGUGACGAGGAUCCCGGCAGGGGCCAUGCACAUCAAGGUCACCGACCGGAGCCGCAACUACCUAGCACUGAUGAACGGGGAGCAGCGGUAUGUGAUCAACGGGGACUGGGCCAUCGACUGGCCGGGCGCGUACGAGGUGGCAGGCACCACGGUGCGCUAUGCCCGGGACCCAGACAAUCACGAGACCCUCGAGGCAGCCGGGCCGACAGAGGAGGAUCUGCACAUCAUGCAGGUCCUGUUCCAGGAGCCGAACCCGGGCAUCGAGUACGAGUACUGGCUCCCCAGGGAGCGGCACGGGCACCUCCAGGGCGACUCCAGCCCCCUGCGACAGCCUCAUCCCAGAGGGAUCGACCUGGACCCACCCAGAGUGCCCCAGCCUGGGCCUUGGACCACCCUGGUGCCCCCCACUCACCUCAGCAUCAGGGACACGACCACGGAGAGGUCCCGGCAGGGACCCACAGACCCAGCUCAAACAGGAAGCUGCGGCAGGUGCCAGACGCCCAAGGGAAAGUCCCAGCGCAUCCGCCACUACUGCCAGAGUGACUUUGUGUUCCGGGCCCGGAUCCUGGCCAAGCGGCCGAUCGGGCAGGAGACGCGCUACGACGUGCAGGUGAAACACACCUACCGCAACCGCUUCCCCCUGGUGCACCGGGAGUACGUGUGGGUCUCCAACGCCUGCGACUGCCCCCAGCUGCUGGAGCACCGCGAGUACCUGCUCAUGGCCCGGCGGCACGUCAACUACGAGCACACGCUCAACCGCAUCCUGCUGCAGCGCGGCAGCUACGCCCGGCCCUGGUCGCCCCGCGAGGACAAGCUGCUGCGGGACAUCGCUGGGCACUGCACCCGGGGCAGGCCGGCGUGACCGGAUGGGAGCCCCCUCCCGCAGCAGCGUGGGAGAGCCCAGCCACGGACAGGGCUGGCAUGGAGCGAUUUGGGGGUGCCCUGACCCGUUUCCACUCAGCCCCCCCCCGUACAUACUUGGGGUGAAGCCCCUCAGAUCAGCCAGUCUGACCAAUGCUGCCUUCACCUGCCACUCACCCCUGGGCUGGCUGGCGCCAAGGCAGGGCCCUGAUGCAGGCACCUCCCCUGGCCCAAAGUCACCUCCUUGCUCCGCGUGCAGCCAGACCCCCCCCUCGAAUGCCAGCCACGGGGGCGAGAGCUGGGGGCUGAUGGGACAGCGGCUGCUGAGAUCAGCCUGGGACGGAGGAAGGCAGAGGGUCAUCGGAACGGGGGGAUUUCAGCCUCCAGACUCUCCCCGAUCCAGUGAGCGGGACCCAGCCACACUGCCCAAGGGUUUGGCCGAGUGCCUUGCCUGGCCUUCAAGGAAUCCCCCCCAGCUCUCCGCCAGCUGCCUCUGGGCUGUUUAACUGCUGCUCCGCAGGGAAAGGAGGAAUUCUGCAUCCAUUGGAGCCCAGAAUGUCAGUAAUGAGCCGGCACCCUGCCUUAGCAUCUCCAAUGAUCCCAGAGGGGUAGGGCCCUGGCUGCCCACAUCCCCCCCAUCCUUCCCAUGGAGCCCGUGUGUUCUCUGCUCUCAGAUCCCCAGGGAAGCACCUUUCCACACAGCACCCAGGAUCGCCCUGGCGAGCUCCUGCGUUUACAGAUGCUCCCUGGGGAGCUUUAAUGCCCUCCACGCAAAUUGGGCAAAGGCCUUAAAGCCUGAUGCAUCGGUGGAGUAUGGGCCUCCCCCUACGCCCCUCCAGCAUCUCCCCACCACUCAGGGCUCCUGCCUCCCCAUCACUGUGACUCAGGUGGGGCCCUGCACCCCAGUGAUUCUGUGCCAGCCUCAUCUCAGGGCUCCAGGGCGUUGUCGCCCACUGUCACAGCAGCAGGCUGCUAAGGAACUAGGCAAGCCCUGCCCAGCGAUCACCGGAGCCAGGGUCGUGUCACCGAUGGUUCCCUGUUUGCAAAGCACCGUUCCAACCCGCGCAGCUGAUGAACUUUCCCAUCCCAGCGAAGAGGGCGGGUGGUGGUGAAAGGGAGGCGCUGGAAUAGGCAGAGCUCAGCAGAAGUCAGCGCUCUGGCCCCGCUCCCUUGUCUGGAGCUGUUUCCCAAAACAGGCGGCUUUGUCUCCAGGAAAGGAGCUGGAAAUCCCCCGGUCGUCACAAUUAACAAUGGCGGCAGGACUCGCUCCUUCCCCGCCAGCACGCUCACCUCUCACCCCGAGCCCCAGAGCGCCUGCCAAAGGGCAGCUCAAAUAAACAAGGGAACAGGCUGCGAAAUCCCAGCCGAGCGGGGUCUGAUUCGCAAAGGCUGGGCCUGGGCGUCACCCAUGGAUUUUUUUAGGCACGUGCUGUGGCCUUUACAGCCUAGUGACUUUGCACUAUCGACAGUGUCUUUUGUCUGCCCUCCACCAAGGACAGCUGGAGGGUUCCGAACGAGUGUGAGAACGCAGCAAGAAAGAACUAACGUCAAGUCACCAUGGGAGAGAGCCGGGGGUGUGUCUGGGAGUCAAAGGUUGCCGAAUAACUGCGCUUGGCUACUCGAGGCUGCAGGGUGCAGGACGCAAUAAGCACUGACAUUUCAUAGCUCCAGAGAUGGCUAACCAGGCUGCUGAAAUGCGGCUGCUUCUGGGAUGCUGUGGGGAGCGGGUUCAGAGCGCAGUGCUGGGCACUAGCAGGAAAUGGGUCCUGAGGGUGAGAUCUAACAAGCUGUGGAAUAGCCUCCAAAGGGAUGGGCUGGCCCAUGGCCCUGGGGAACACACUGCAAAGGGAAUCGUCCUGUCCAGGGCAGGAGGAUGGGGUAGCUGGGAUCUGACCGGCUUCCCUUUGCAAAGCAGCCUGGUGCACUGGGCUUGUGAGUGCCUGGCAGAGAAAGCCCAUGAAACAACAUCGCCAGCUCUCGUGAUCUUAACCUGAGUCUCACGAUACCAGGUGCUUUCCUUGAAGCCCCAGUUCUUGAAGUCAGGUGAUUUCAUCAGACUCUGAGCUUGCAUUUAAAAACACAGCACAUUUCCAGACCCCCCCCACCCCCACCCCCGUGGCUGCCCAGAAAGUGUGAAAAGGUGACACCCAGAGACUCAACAGCCAGGAGGCAAAGAAACCCAGCCCCACGGUAUGAAUUAAAAGAAAUCUUGUGAUCUUUAAGCCCAUCUGAUGAUUUGGAGAGGGGUGAUAAUGCCUUGGGCUGUGUGAUAACGCAUGGCCACGCCCACCUGCUCACAGAUACACCCAUGAACACGCACUUACAUGUGUGAAUAUACAAACACAUCUGUGCACACACACACACACACACAUGUGUGCAUGCACCUGCGUAUGCACACACAGGCAUUCCCCACCCCCGUUCUUUCUCAGGCUCCAUCUGCAGUUUGAAAUAAUUCCCACUCGAGAUCCCAGAGAGAACGCACCCAGGGCUGAGCGCAGGCUCCUGAUGGCAGGUCGCCUGGCCACAAACCUGUGAGUGAAGCCGAUGAUUUUAUGCUGGGCCGUUUAUUUUGAGUUCUCCAGAGAAUAUCCACCAGUAUUUCUGGGGGGGCCUCUCAUCCCCAUGGAAAACACCCAGCCGGCCCCAAGGCCACCUCACAGCUGGAGU